rnacentral:sRNA from 1 species
AAAGUAAAACGUGAAAAUGCUACAGCUAUGGAUAAGACUCGAGCUUUGAUUGACUCCGUUAUUCCGAAAGGGGCACAGGCAUGCCAAAUUUGCAUCACAUACAUUUGUGAAGAAGACAAUUACCUGGCAGGGACGCUGGGACUCUCAGCAGCUCCUCAGGCAGUGCAGGACAACCCAGCUAUGCCCACAUCCUCAGGCUCAGAAGGGAAUGUCAAGCUUUGCUCCCUAGAAGAAGCGCAAAGGAUAUGGAAAGAAAAGUCGGCAGAGGUGCCAUGCUCAGAACACAAGGAUAGAGUGGGGUGAAAGAAACACUUCAGGCAGUUCUGAAAUGCAGUGGCUUAUUCUUAGAGUCAACUUCAUUAAGCAGUUCUAGAGAAUCAUACUUCUGCUCCCCUUACAUAAAGGAUUUCUAUAUCCUAGAAUCCCAGGUUUAUAGAAAGAGGUCCAAAUUGGAUCCACUUCCUCGGUAAAUAACAUCAGUAAUGACAGCUAUUGAAUGCUUAUUAAGAAUGGGCAUUGUUCUAAGCAUUUUGCACAUGAUAAUACAUAAUUUUUAACCUUAAACACAACCCAUUUUA